AGAGUUUGAUUCUGGCUCAGGAUGAACGCUAGCGACAGGCUUAACACAUGCAAGUCGAGGGGCAGCACGGGAGUAGCAAUACUUUGGUGGCGACCGGCGCACGGGUGAGUAACGCGUAUGCAACCUACCUAUCAGGAGGGGAAUAACCCGGCGAAAGUCGGACUAAUACCGCAUAAAACAGGGGCACCGCAUGGUGAUAUUUGUUAAAGAAAUUCGCUGAUAGAUGGGCAUGCGUUCCAUUAGGUAGUUGGUGAGGUAACGGCUCACCAAGCCGACGAUGGAUAGGGGAACUGAGAGGUUGGUCCCCCACACUGGUACUGAGACACGGACCAGACUCCUACGGGAGGCAGCAGUGAGGAAUAUUGGUCAAUGGGCGGGAGCCUGAACCAGCCAAGUCGCGUGAAGGAAAGAAGGAUCUAUGGUUCGUAAACUUCUUUUGCAGGGGAAUAAAGUGCAGGACGUGUCCUGUUUUGUAUGUACCCUGAGAAUAAGGAUCGGCUAACUCCGUGCCAGCAGCUGC
rnacentral:rRNA from 1 species